rnacentral:rRNA from 1 species
AUUGAACGCUGGCGGCAUGCUUUACACAUGCAAGUCGAACGGUAACAGGCCGCAAGGUGCUGACGAGUGGCGAACGGGUGAGUAAUGCAUCGGAACGUGCCCAGUCGUGGGGGAUAACGCAGCGAAAGCUGUGCUAAUACCGCAUACGAUCUAUGGAUGAAAGCGGGGGACCGUAAGGCCUCGCGCGAUUGGAGCGGCCGAUGUCAGAUUAGGUAGUUGGUGGGGUAAAGGCUCACCAAGCCAACGAUCUGUAGCUGGUCUGAGAGGACGACGAGCCACACGGGGACUGGGACAAGGCCCAGACUCCUACGGGAGGCAGCAGUGGGGAAGUUUGGACAAUGGGCGCAAGCCUGAUCCAGCAAUGCCGCGUGCAGGAAGAAGGCCUUCGGGUUGUAAACUGCUUUUGUACGGAACGAAAAGGUUUGGGUUAAUACCCUGGGCCGAUGACGGUACCGUAAGAAUAAGCACCGGCUAACUACGUGCCAGCCGCCGCCGCAG